CUCAUAAUAUUCACAUGGUUUAGCUAAAUUAAACUGUUAUUUCUCUGUCUGACUCUACGCAGCCAUUUGCCAAAAAACCUAAAUAAGAUAUUUUCCCCAUUUUAUUUCCACUUUGUUCGUUAUUUGGUUCAGUUUAAUCAGAGCUACCUUGUGUUACGUUGUUCCCUUGUUAGUUUGGUAUACAGUUAAACUGCUAGCUAAAAGUUUUAACCAAGAAGGAUAAUAACAGGAGAUAUGAAUGAAUGAAAGAAUUGAACCAUGAUAAAACGCGACAUGCACUACAAAUUGAAAGGUAUGAAAUUAAGUUAAAUGAAAGCUCGUUUAUUCACCAUAUGAUGCUCGUUAUGAGGUAAUCAUAUAGGCUAGAUACCGUGAGUUAACGAGGUCGUUUACAUGCACGUGAGUGCACGGAUAUCGGUUAAUUAUUCAAAUUACUAAAAAACACGGAGAAAACCGCAACCGCAUCGUCAUGUGUUUUUUUUUAGAUGUAUGCAAACAGGGAAAAUAUCGCCAAACCAACAAUUCAUUUUACCUCAGAAUAUAUCAUCAUUUGUAUGCACAGAUUUGAUGCAUUGUGUGUUGUAAGCUUUUCGUGGCACUAGAUGUCAGACAGAUGCAAAUAGCAAAUACAUACGAAGUGUAAAACGUGUAUGGCGAACAUUUGUUUUUCUGUCAUUAUAGAUGCUAGUUUGGUGAAAGUACACACUGAGUGCUUCAAAUCAUUCAGAAGAGAUGCUGUUUUUAGGGCAGUUUAUUAAAGAAGACCUGACAUGGAUGACUUCCAAUGAGAAACGACUGCUACUUAUAUAAAUUCAUUACAGAAGGACCCUACCAGACUAUAUUUGAAUACGGCAUACCCGUGAAUUCUGGAACUUUUAUUUCUUAACCCAGUUUGGAGGAUAAGAGCUUACCAACUAGUUAUAAAUAUGCUGAGGUGAUGUAUUGCAAAAUAGCCAACAUACAACAAUUAAAGGAUAAUUGCAGCCUAUAUCCUGAUGAAGAUAUGGAUGACCCUCUGUCUGGUCAACAGGAGUUUAAAUAUGGACGGGACAGUUAUGUGGCAGCUCUUCCCUGGCUCAUUCACCUCUUGCCUUCAUUUGUGAAAGGAGGAAAGACUGGAGAGGGUCAAUAUGCAACUGAAGCUACUGAUUGUGCUGUGUGAUGAGCAUCAAUCCAUGCUUUGAGGGGGAUGAAUCAUCACAGCCCUGCCUGCUCUGCGUUGGGAACAAAAGUUGCAUCCAGAAUUUUUG